rnacentral:lncRNA from 1 species
GACAUUUUUUGACUAUCGUAGACUUCUAUUAGUAACCAUAUUCAUGUUUUAUUGUUAUGCUACAGAAGCCAAAUAUAUCUUUAAUGUAGCUUAGUAGAAAAGGGGUUUUUUGGUUUAAUAUAAUUAGAUUAACUAUCGUUAUUCCAGUAUUAGUUCCAUUGGUUCCCAGGUUUGAGGAAGUGUAUUAUCUUCCGGUGGUGUCUAUAAAAACAGCAAAAAACUAUCCCUCUGUAACAGUCUUUUUCAAGAUCCAUUGCUAUAUUUUCACAUAGGAAUUGUGAAAUAUAAGCAAAAUAGGAACUUUGAAAAUUAUCCUGUUAUUUGUAUCAAUUUUAAUUAUAUUAUUCAUGUUAAAGGAAACCUCAACCCAACAGGUUAAAUAUCUAGUGUGAAGGUGUACAACCAAUUAGUCACAG